AUCAAUGAUUCUAACACUUAAAUUUCUCAAAGGCCUGCAUUGAAUUGAAUUGUUGGAGCAACUUAUUCGGUUUGUUCCUGAAAUUUUACAAUCAUCAAAUUGAAAUUCGAUUGAUGAUUAUGUUCGAGAUCAAUUCGACGGUUCCAUUGUUCAUCAGCAUUCAAUUCAAGAAUAGUUUGGCCAUGUUCAACACAUGAUAACAGGUUAGGCUAGGGUUAGAUUAGGCUUAGGAACAUGAUCUGAGCUAUUUCCUAUUGAAUUUGAUGCUGAUUGAAUCUUUGGAAUCAAUGAAGCGAUCGAAAACAUGAUUAUAAGUCGAAGAUUCAUGGGAUGGAACACAUACUUGAAAAUGAUCAUGGAUCGCCGGCGAACAAUUUGGAAAUUGAAUUUCGAACCAUGGAUAGAAUUUGGACAUUGUCUUGAAACAUGGACCGCGAUUAUGGAUUUAUUUAUGUCAAACGGG